GCUUCAGAUGCCAGUGCCGAGUUACCAGCAUCAAUACAAAAACGUCAAGGGGAGAAUAACCAGACAAACAUGAGUGAAAAA